GCAAACUUGGUCAUUUAGAGGAAGUAAAAGUCGUAACAAGGUUUCCGUAGGUGAACCUGCGGAAGGAUCAUUAACGAAUUUGAUUUUAUCAUUUUUCUGUGAAAUUCAUUUGAAUUUGCUUCGGCUGUUGAUAUUUUUGUUAGCAGCCGGCAUUAUAAACUUAACCAAAUUUUUUUGUCUAAAAGAUUUUAUUAAAAAUAAAUCAAAACUUUCAACAACGGAUCUCUAGGUUCUCGCAUCGAUGAAGAACGCAGC
rnacentral:misc_RNA from 1 species